GGGCGCUACAAAAAGCUUCCAGAAAGGGCUAAUCACGUGAUUUCGCCGACAUAUUCCUACCUGUUUUAUUUCUAAAUAGAGAGCGAUAGGGAUGUGGGAUGGUGGCGGGCCCCAGGUUUCGGGUGGGAGGAAUCCCGGGCAGCACGGGCUGCCCGACAUGCCCGUUAGGGGCUCUGCCCAUAAAUUGAAGUGCCGUCCGGUGAAACGCAGUUUGCCGCUUUGGCUCCUCCAGUCGUUUGGCUAGGGUCUCUUUCGAUCUCGAUUCCUACAGAAGCUUUAGAAAGAACGGAGAUUUUUCAAAAAAGGAAAAAAAAAAGAAAUGGCAUCCAACUUGGCGAGCGCCGGUGAGCUGAGGAAAGAGGAGCACAACCAUCACCAUCAUGAGGUGCCGUCGCCACGGACCAUCCGGAGGACGUGGUCCUCCAACCCUUCCUCCUGCGGUCACGGCUCGGCCGUUACAGUCCCCAAGUGCGUCUGUGCUCCGGCCACCCACGCCAGGUCCUUUAAGUGCCGUCUCCACCGAGUCAACUCCCAGGGACACUCGCAGCCCUCCGCUCCGAUGCCUCAGGCGCCGGCCGUCUCCACCACCUCCUCCACUUGGACCGUGGAGGCUCAGUGAAUAAAAGAUCGCCCCAACAGGCUAAAAUGAUUUUAAUUUUUCCCAAAAAAAAGAAAAAAGAAAAUCCAGAAGACACGGAAGAAGUGAAAUAUUGGUACUUCCCCGAUGCCUUUAGACGAUCUUUGUUUGGUAUCCGUUUCUCUCCUCUCUCUCUCUCUCUGUCUCCUACCCUACCCGUACUCUCCCCCCGUCCUUUUCCCAUAGUGUGUAUGGAAUGGGCUGACCGUUGUGGGCAGUGGUGUAAUUAAGUCCUAUGAUGAUUAGAUGCCGCUUAUCCUAUGAGAUCUUGGUGUAAUUAAGUCAUAUGAUGAUUAGGUGCCGUUUGUCCUAUGAGAUCUUGGAAUUGGAUGCUUGAAUUGGUGUUUUGAGUCAAUUUGUUGAAGGGCUUGUAUAGAGCAACAUGUUUCUAAGCCAAAUUUCGA